rnacentral:rRNA from 1 species
UACGUAGGCAGCGAGCGUUGUUCGGAAUUACUGGGCGUAAAGAGUGUGUAGGCGGUGCUCUAAGUUCGGUGUGAAAUCUCCCCGGCUUAACUGGGAGGGUGCGCCGGAAACUGGAGUGCUCGAGCGUGGGAGAGGAAAGCGGAAUUCCUGGUGUAGCGGUGAAAUGCGUAGAGAUCCGGAAGAACACCGAUGGCGAAGGCAGCCCCCUGGGCUAACACUGACGCUCAGGCACGAA